GAUGAACGCUGGCGGCGUGCCUAAUACAUGCCAGUCGAGCGAACAGACGAGGAGCUUGCUCCUCUGACGUUAGCGGCGGACGGGUGAGUAACACGUGGAUAACCUACCUAUAAGACUGGGAUAACUUCGGGAAACCGGAGCUAAUACCGGAUAAUAUAUUGAACCGCAUGGUUCAAUAGUGAAAGACGGUUUUGCUGUCACUUAUAGAUGGAUCCGCGCCGCAUUAGCUAGUUGGUAAGGUAACGGCUUACCAAGGCAACGAUGCGUAGCCGACCUGAGAGGGUGAUCGGCCACACUGGAACUGAGACACGGUCCAGACUCCUACGGGAGGCAGCAGUAGGGAAUCUUCCGCAAUGGGCGAAAGCCUGACGGAGCAACGCCGCGUGAGUGAUGAAGGUCUUCGGAUCGUAAAGCUCUGUUAUUAGGGAAGAACAAAUGUGUAAGUAACUAUGCACGUCUUGACGGUACCUAAUCAGAAAGCCACGGCUAACUACGUG
rnacentral:rRNA from 1 species